UUAAAAAAGAUAAGCUAAA
rnacentral:tRNA from 1 species